AUUGGUCACCAUGUGGUCUAGGACCAGAGUUAAUCAGGUCAUAUAAAAAUCCACUACAGGGGACCAUUCUUUCUCUGUUGGACAUCUCUCUUUACAUUUUUCUACCAUCUGCAGAAGAAACACCUUGAGGCUUCCCAUUGUUGCAGCCGAGCCUGACAGCAUAUGCCCUUGUGACCCUUCCGAGGCCCCCACUUUUGUCGUUGGCAGUGACAUGAGUGCCUGCCUGAGACUAACCAACAGCAAAGUUUCCUAAAUCUCGUGCCAGUGGCUACAACACAGAGUUUACCAUCUGAACCUACAAGCAACAGGAGCCACAGAAUGGGAUUAACAUCAACCAGCUAACUUUACAAAGAGGACAAAGACCAGCCACGGACCUCAGCAGCACAAAUGACAUUGAAACCCUCCAGCUCACUGGACUCAAAGCAGUUUUGGGCUCGCAGCCAGCUAGGUCUACUCCUCUGGCGCGACACAAGACAGGAAGCUGACAUAAAAGAAUAGGGGGACCGACAGUAAGGGAUGCAGGAGCCAAGGCAGGAGCCACUAGCAAGUUCGGAAGUUAUUGUCUCAGCUUUCAGGCAUCCACAGUGACAAGAACCAUAUCACUCUCUUGAACUUUGUGUGAUCCGUAGGUGAUGACCAUAAGCAUGAAAAGCAUACCAGGACAGGAAUUUGGCCGAUGAGGGUUACAGUAUCAGUCCCAGGACAUGAAGAGCUAAUAAAUUCCAGCAGACUGUGGUGGCAGAACAGGGACACUGUGGACUAAUAAUGCAACACCUGCAACUGGCCAAUCCAAACCAGC